rnacentral:rRNA from 1 species
UACGUAGGGGGUAAGCGUUGUCCGGAAUCAUUGGGCGUAAAGCGCGUGUAGGCGGUUCGAUAAGUCCGCUGUGAAAGUCGGGGGCUCAACCCUCGGAUGCCGGUGGAUACUGUCGAGCUUGAGUACGGAAGAGGCGAGUGGAAUUCCUGGUGUAGCGGUGAAAUGCGCAGAUAUCAGGAGGAACACCAAUUGCGAAGGCAGCUCGCUGGGACGUUACUGACGCUGAGACGCGAAAGCGUGGGGAGCAAACAGG